rnacentral:rRNA from 1 species
UACGGAGGGUGCAAGCGUUGUCCGGAAUCACUGGGCGUAAAGGGCGCGUAGGCGGCUCAUGAAGGCUGUGGUGAAAGUCCGGGGCUCAACCUCGGAUCGGCCGUGGCGACUCGUGGGCUGGAGCACUGUAGAGGCGGGUGGAAUUCCGGGUGUAGCGGUGGAAUGCGUAGAGAUCCGGAGGAACACCAGUGGCGAAGGCGGCCCGCUGGGCAGUGGCUGACGCUGAGGCGCGAAAGCGUGGGGAGCAAACAGG